CCCGACCCCCGUUCACCCCCCUGCCCUUUGCAGCAGCCCUGCUGUUUGGAGAUGCUUGUUUACUGAGGGAGGGGAGGAUUGUGGGAGUAAGGGGUUAUUAAUAAGUUACUCUAAUGGAGAGUUGAGAAUGGGUCUUGAAGGAUAAGGUCACCUCCUCCUCACCGUCCUCACUGCCCUCAGAGUGCACAAUAUAGGUUUGUUCCCACAGUUUCUUCCCCUGCACCCCUGGCCACCCUACCCCACCCGGGCCUUGCCCUCCCUGGA
rnacentral:lncRNA from 1 species